GCUUAUAUAGAUUACCCUGUGAAAUGGGGCACCAGUUUCCAGAAUACAGUUUACACUAACUCAUAAGGAUGGCCAUUGUGUGUUGGAUUGCUCCCCAACCACUGGCAGAAAGCAUGGGCUUGUCACCUGUCCUUCCCAUGGCUUGCCUCACAAUUGGGCAUCCUGACCACGGAUCUGGGCUCUGCAGGAGAGGGCAGCUGGAGCCCAGCGGUCAACACAUCCUCAUUUGGCUUAAGGUCUGGCUGUGGCCUGUUCAAUUCAAACUUUCAUCCAGCAUGGGGAGCAGACUGUCUUAUAUCUUCAAUCAACAAGAGGAGUCUUCUAGGUGGAGCAAGCCCUGUGCAGCACCCAAAUCUGGCAAACCCCUGAUGUCUUGAUAACAGAAAUUGGUGUGAUAGAGAGGGCCAGUUUGCUGGAAGAAGCUGAGUGAAUCCAUGAAAAGAGCCCUGCUGAAGAGGUAAUGGAGAGCGGGGGAGGAGGCACUGCCUGCUGCACAAGCAUGAGAAGCCAAGUCUGAUUCUCACAACCCAGGUCGAAUAUGAAUUUUGCCUCUUCUGUGGAAUCCGUCUGAACACCGUACCCUCCUGUGAGCCGUGUUCCUGGUUGGACUCACUCCACUUAACAUCUUUGCCAUCCACUUGAGCACUUGAAGCAGGUUGACUUAUCACACAGCAUCCCACUAAGUGGCUGGAAGGCAGAAUGGCACCUGCAUUGCUUGUAGAGUCCAGCAAAGGGCAGACAGGGUAGUGGUGGACCAAAAAACAGCCAAUAGAAUAGAAAUGGCAUAUAGGAAUUCGCUGGAGAAGAUAGCUUCAAAAGGAUGAUUAUAAAUAUGCUCAAGGGUUUAAAGGAAACAAGGUCUAAUAGGUAAAAAUCUCAUGAAGAAACAGAGAGGA
rnacentral:lncRNA from 1 species